CAGUAGCCGCGGUAAGACAGAGGAUGCAAGCGUUAUCCGGAAUGAUUGGGCGUAAAGCGUCUGUAGGUGGCUUUUCAAGUCCGCUGUCAAAUCCCAGGGCUCAACCCUGGACAGGCGGUGGAAACUACCAAGCUGGAGUACGGUAGGGGCAGAGGGAAUUUCCAGUGGAGUGGUGAAAUGCGUUGAGAUCGGAAAGAACACCAACGACGAAAGCACUCUGCUGGGCCGACACUGACACUGAGAGACGAAAGCUAGGGGAGCAAAUGGGAUUAGAGACCCGUGUAGUCCCUGUCUCUUAUAC
rnacentral:rRNA from 1 species